GAAACGGAUUAAUAUUUCCGUACCUUGGAUAGCUGCGAUGGAGAGACGGAGAAGGCUAGGUGAGCCGGGCGACGGUUGUCCCGGUUUAAGCAUGUAGGCAGUGGGAUUAGGCAAAUCCGGUCCCACAAUGCCGAGACGCGACGACGACUGCCCUUUUAGGGCGGGAAGUCAUUGAUGCCCUGCUUCCAGGAAAAUCUUCUAAGCUUCAGGCUAUUCGAGACCGUACCCCAAACCGACA
rnacentral:rRNA from 1 species